GCUAAUCAGAGACUAAUUCUUUCCAAUAAGUUAAUCGAACAAAAUCAUCAAAGAGCAGUUACUCAAAUUGUCAUAUCAAUGAUCAUAUCACUAAGCGAAGCAAUCGAUUUCAAUAGCAAAGCAAUCGACAUCAAAACACACGUACAUCUCUAUUUUACUUCAUUUGUUGCUAUUGAACAUUAACCAGAUUUUUUAUUAUAAUCCUGUGUGGAAUAGAUUGUAAAACAAAUAAAUAAUACAACACCUAACUAACACGACUGCAACUAGAAAUUUUGAAACGCAACAAAAUUUUAAAUUUCUCUUGUUACCUUUAAUUUUAGAAAGCCAGAACCAAUUUGUAUAGUGACAGUUUUUAUGUAUCAGCUCUAGUUUCUCAGACAUGUUGUUUCUAUGUGGCUGCAGUCCGCGAGUAGUUUCUCGUGAGAAUUUGAUAAGUUUUAUUAAGACACUCGCCAUGGCUACGACGCGAUGUCAUGUUGUCAAACUGAUUUCGUUACAGCAACUUCGGGUAUUAUACAAAACGAUAUUAUUCAAAUAAAAAAUUAGAGCGGACACAUAAAUACUUAAACUUAAAUACGAAUAAACAUUAAAGAAAGUAUUUCCUCCUUACAUUUCAGGGAAAAAUAUGUGUGCAGACCUGUAGGUAUCAUAAAUUGACCAACAAUGUCAAUGGAUGAGACAAUGUGUAGGCAAAAUACAUAAGCAAAGAUGCUCUCGUCGAAAAGGAAAUAAAUACCCGUAUACAUUAAUUUGCCAAAAACAUUCGUGUGAAGCAAGUUGAGUAACUUCAGAAGGGCUUAAGUCGCUCAUUUCAAAAAGCCGAGCCGGUGCAGGCUGGAUUGGAAUCGCUCGGUACGCGCUUGACAUGAAGUGGUAAUAUACCUGAACUGCAUAUUGGUGCGCCGCGCGCGACUGACGCCGCGGUUGCUGUGCGGCAUGCGACGAACGCCACCGUGCCGGAUGCCACUCGGCUCAUCGUUCACAGGGACGAAACCGAAGUUGGGAAUUGAGUCUGUCGUUGAAAAGCGAUGCAGUAGGAUGGGAUAACAUUAGUACAAAAACUUUUGAAGUAUAUUAAAGGUAUUAUUGUGCCAACAUUGACGUACAAAUGAAAUUUGGCAAUUCAAAAUGUCCCGCAAGCUUUUAAGAGGGUACUGAUAAUACCCGACAACUAAUAGACCUUACCAAUCUUACCAUCAAUGUCCAAAAUUCUAGCGAAAAACAAGAAUUCUAGGCUAAUAAGGCUUCUAGAAACAAGAAACAAUCUUGUCCUCAUCACAAUGCUUUCGUGUCUCAGGAAUUAAGUAAUUAAAUCUCUCGACUGAGGGACCAAAAUGGCAGUAUUCUUGGAUUUGGCAAAGGAUUGCGACACGGCCAAUAUCUCACUUUUGAUAAGGAAAUUGGAACGAGUUGGUGUCAGAGGCAUGCAGUGUAAACUAUUCGAUAACUUUUUGAGCAAUAGAAUGCAAUGUGUUAGAAAAGGAGACCAUAUCAGCGACGAUCUUUCCGUCACGCACGGCACACAUGGUAGUAUUUUAGGACCUAUCCUUUUCCUAGUUUACGUAAACAAACUAUGCAAAUUGGAAUUACCCAGCGGGUGAAUAAUUUUCUUUUGUUCUAUACGAUACUGCUCCGUUUAGUGCUAAAAGCUCUGAGACACACAUUCACGCACGCACACACGCACAAGCGUUUGAUUCGACUUAUUAAGUUUUAGUAAUUUAUAAAAGCUUGCUAAACAAUCAGUGUGUUUAAGUACAGGAUAGUGAAGGCCUGUUGACCCAUAACACAG